GCCCAAGAGAUCGGGAUAACACCUGGAAACAGAUGCUAAUACCGGAUAACAACAGAUGAUGCCUAUCAACUGUUUAAAAGAUGGUUCUGCUAUCACUCUUGGAUGGACCUGCGGUGCAUUAGCUAGUUGGUAGGGUAACGGCAUACCAAGGCGAUGAUGCAUAGCCGAGUUGAGAGACUGAUCGGCCACAUUGGGACUGAGACACGGCCCAAACUCCUACGGGAGGCAGCAGCC
rnacentral:rRNA from 1 species